CAGUCGCCGCGGGAAUACAGAGGGUGCGAGCGUUAAUCGGAUUUACUGGGCGUAAAGCGUGCGUAGGCGGCUUCUUAAGUCGGAUGUGAAAUCCCUGAGCUUAACUUAGGAAUUGCAUUUGAUACUGGGAAGCUAGAGUAUGGGAGAGGAUGGUAGAAUUCCAGGUGUAGCGGUGAAAUGCGUAGAGAUCUGGAGGAAUACCGAUGGCGAAGGCAGCCAUCUGGCCUAAUACUGACGCUGAGGUACGAAAGCAUGGGGAGCAAACAGGAUUAGAUACCCCAGUAGUCCCUGUCUCUUAUAC
rnacentral:rRNA from 1 species